rnacentral:rRNA from 1 species
GACGAACGCUGGCGGCGUGCUUAACACAUGCAAGUCGAACGGAAAGGCCCUGCUUUUGUGGGGUGCUCGAGUGGCGAACGGGUGAGUAACACGUGAGUAACCUGCCCUUGACUUUGGGAUAACUUCAGGAAACUGGGGCUAAUACCGGAUAGGAGCUCCUGCUGCAUGGUGGGGGUUGGAAAGUUUCGGCGGUUGGGGAUGGACUCGCGGCUUAUCAGCUUGUUGGUGGGGUAGUGGCUUACCAAGGCGUUGACGGGUAGCCGGCCUGAGAGGGUGACCGGCCACAUUGGGACUGAGAUACGGCGCAGACUCCUACGGGAGGCAGAAGUGGGGAAUAUUGCACAAUGGGCGGAAGCCUGAUGCAGCAACGCCGCGUGCGGGAUGACGGCCUUCGGGUUGUAAACCGCUUUCGCCUGUGACGAAGCGUGAGUGACGGUAAUGGGUAAAGAAGCACCGGCUAACUACGUG